UACGUAGGGUGCGAGCGUUAAUCGGAAUUACUGGGCGUAAAGCGUGCGCAGGCGGUUCGUGAUGUCUGAUGUGAAAGCCCCGGGCUCAACCUGGGAAUUGCAUUGGAAACUAGCGGGCUGGAGUGUGGCAGAGGGGGGGUGGAAUUCCACGUGUAGCAGUGAAAUGCGUAGAGAUGUGGAGGAACACCGAUGGCGAAGGCAGCCCCCUGGGCUAACACUGACGCUCAUGCACGAAAGCGUGGGGAGCAAACAGG
rnacentral:rRNA from 1 species